rnacentral:pre_miRNA from 1 species
AGUGGAAUUGCUGGGUCAUAUGGGAACUUUAUAUUUUUAAGAAACUGCCAACCUUUUUACUAAAGUGGCUAUACCAUUUUGCAUUCCUACCAGCAAU